AUUGAACGCUGGCGGCAGGCCUAACACAUGCAAGUCGAACGAGUGGCGGACGGGUGUGUAAUGUCUGGGGAACUGCCCGAUAUAGAGGGAUAACAACUGUAAACGGUAUCUAAUACCGCAUACCAUCGGAUGUGUGCAGAUGGGAUUAGAUUGUAGGUGAGGUAACGGCUCACCUAGGCGACGAUCCCUAGCUGGUCUGAGAGGAUGACCAGCCACACUGGAACUGAGACACGGUCCAGACUCCUACGGGAGGCAGCAGUGGGGAAUAUUGCACAAUGGGCGCAAGCCUGAUGCAGCCAUGCCGCGUGUAUGAAGAAGGCCUUCGGGUUGUAAAGUACUUUCAGCGGGGAGGCGUUACCCGCAGAAGAAGCACCGGCUAACUCCGUGCCAGCAGCCGCGGUAAUUC
rnacentral:rRNA from 1 species